rnacentral:lncRNA from 1 species
GGAGACUAGUCUUUUUCUAAAGUACUAUUUUAAAAUGACAAUGCAUGAAGAGGAAGUCCCAUUUGUGUAAGAACACACUUUUCACCUCUAGGUGCCAAAGCAACUCUUCAAAACAAAACAAAACAAAACAAAACAAAAAACCUCUCUUGCAUCAUUUAUAUAUUGAAGAAAUAUAAGUAGUUAAAAGCCCUGGUUCAGCUUAUCACUGACGUGAUUCUGAUAGAGAAAAAUCAACAUUUGUAGUGGAUAAGCUCCACUAACACUAGUACUGUUGAGAUUUCGGGUACUAGUACAAAAAAGAUGGGAAAGCUUCUUUCUAAAUACUUACUGUCUGAAUUGGGCGAAUAUGCAUGUGCAAAAUUAAUUUCACAAGGAAAACCUGCUGAAUAAUCUGGAAGUCUGCUUCAACUGAACCGUUACGUUGAAGUCCGUUUGCUCAGCCCUGGGAGAGAAAGACCUUUGCCCACUGAAGAAAGGGAAGAUGUACGAGCCACUGUGAAAGCCAGAUGGUGUGGAGUUCUUUUUAAGAGGCUGGGAAUAUCACUAUCUUCUGAAGGAGGAAAUGUUUUUGGACAAUUUUCCUCUUCUGCUUUCAAGAGUCAAGGAAGAUAUAUAACCUUAGAUCCAGGACCUUUUGAGGAAUGGACAAAAUAUGACAGAGACAAGAUACUAAGCCAGAGAGAAGUUAAAGAACCUGUUCGUGUCCAUAGUAUUCCAAGUUCACACGGUUCUGAGAGAAAAAGGGUAAGAACCCAAAUUAGCGCCAUUUUCAGUAAGUCAUAGAACACAGUCUGGCAGUUAUGGAAAAGAUACUGUAAAUACUACAUUUCUUAAGUUAUAAAUAUUAUAUGUAUUACAGAUACAUAUAUAGAAACU